AUUGAACGCUGGCGGCAUGCCUUACACAUGCAAGUCGAACGGUAACAGGUCUUCGGAUGCUGACGAGUGGCGAACGGGUGAGUAAUACAUCGGAACGUGCCUAGUAGUGGGGGAUAACUACUCGAAAGAGUGGCUAAUACCGCAUGAGAUCUACGGAUGAAAGCAGGGGAUCGCAAGACCUUGUGCUACUAGAGCGGCCGAUGGCAGAUUAGGUAGUUGGUGGGAUAAAAGCUUACCAAGCCGACGAUCUGUAGCUGGUCUGAGAGGACGAUCAGCCACACUGGGACUGAGACACGGCCCAGACUCAUACGGGAGGCAGCAGUGGGGAAUUUUGGACAAUGGGCGAAAGCCUGAUCCAGCGAUGCCGCGUGCAGGACGAAGGCCUUCGGGUUGUAAACUGCUUUUGUACGGAACGAAAAGCCCCGGGUUAAUACCCUGGGGUCAUGACGGUACCGUAAGAAUAAGCACCGGCUAACUACGUGCCAGCCGCCGCCGUAA
rnacentral:rRNA from 1 species